rnacentral:rRNA from 1 species
CCUACGGGUGGCAGCAGUGGGGAAUAUUGCACAAUGGGGGAAACCCUGAUGCAGCGACGCCGCGUGAGUGAAGAAGUAUUUCGGUAUGUAAAGCUCUAUCAGCAGGGAAGAAAAUGACGGUACCUGAUUAAGAAGCCCCGGCUAACUACGUGCCAGCAGCCGCGGUAAUACGUAGGGGGCAAGCGUUAUCCGGAUUUACUGGGUGUAAAGGGGGCGUAGACGGCAGCACAAGUCUGGAGUGAAAUGCCGGGGCUUAACCCCGGAACUGCUUUGGAAACUGUGCAGCUAGAGUGGAGGAGAGGUAAGUGGAAUGCCUAGUGUAGCGGUGAAAUGCGUAGAUAUUAGGAGGAACACCAGUGGCGAAGGCGGCUUUCUGGAGUGUAACUGACGUUGAGGCUCGAAAGCGUGGGGAGCAAACAGGAUUAGAUACCCCAGUAGUC